GACCAAAGUGGGGGACCUUCGGGCCUCACGCCAUCGGAUGUGCCCAGAUGGGAUUAGCUAGUAGGUGGGGUAACGGCUCACCUAGGCGACGAUCCCUAGCUGGUCUGAGAGGAUGACCAGCCACACUGGAACUGAGACACGGUCCAGACUCCUACGGGAGGCAGCAGUGGGGAAUAUUGCACAAUGGGCGCAAGCCUGAUGCAGCCAUGCCGCGUGUAUGAAGAAGGCCUUCGGGUUGUAAAGUACUUUCAGCGGGGAGGAAGGCGAUGCGGUUAAUAACCGCGUCGAUUGACGUUACCCGCAGAAGAAGCACCGGCUAACUCCGUGCCAG
rnacentral:rRNA from 1 species